GCCUACGGGGGGCAGCAGUAGGGAAUCUUCCACAAUGGACGAAAGUCUGAUGGAGCAACGCCGCGUGAGUGAAGAAGGGUUUCGGCUCGUAAAGCCCUGUUGGUAGUGAAGAAAGAUAGAGGUAGUAACUGGCCUUUAUUUGACGGUAAUUACUUAGAAAGUCACGGCUAACUACGUGCCAGCAGCCGCGGUAAUACGUAGGUGGCAAGCGUUGUCCGGAUUUAUUGGGCGUAAAGCGAGU
rnacentral:rRNA from 1 species